rnacentral:rRNA from 1 species
UACGGAGGGUGCAAGCGUUACUCGGAAUUACUGGGCGUAAAGCGUGCGUAGGCGGUUGUUUAAGUCGGUUGUGAAAGCCCUGGGCUCAACCUGGGAACUGCAGUGGAAACUGGACAACUAGAGUGUGGUAGAGGGUAGCGGAAUUCCCGGUGUAGCAGUGAAAUGCGUAGAGAUCGGGAGGAACACCCAUGGCGAAGGCAGCUACCUGGACCAACACUGACGCUGAGGCACGAAAGCGUGGGGAGCAAACAGG